AUCGUGCCUCAUCUAGUAUUGGGAAAGAGCUCAAUACGCAGUUUUUUGCUAGUGUUACGUCUUCAGGCAACGGCCAAUUGACAACAAGUAGUGCAAUUGCCCCAAUUCCUGUGCUGUCAUCAUCGUCAUCCAUGGGUUCACCACUGUUUUGGAUUGGAGUUGGAGUUGGUCUGUCAGUCAUUUUUCAAGUGGUUGCAAAUAGAUUGA